UUGAACGCUGGCGGCAGGCCUAACCCCUGCAAGUCGCACGGUAACAGGAAGCAGCUUGCUGCUUCGCUGACGAGUGGCGGACGGGUGAGUAAUGUCUGGGAAGCUGCCUGAUGGAGGGGGAUAACUACUGGAAACGGUAGCUAAUACCGCAUAAUGUCGCAAGACCAAAGAGGGGGACCUUCGGGCCUCUUGCCAUCGGAUGUGCCCAGAUGGGAUUAGCUUGUUGGUGGGGUAACGGCUCACCAAGGCGACGAUCCCUAGCUGGUCUGAGAGGAUGACCAGCCACACUGGAACUGAGACACGGUCCAGACUCCUACGGGAGGCAGCAGUGGGGAAUAUUGCACAAUGGGCGCAAGCCUGAUGCAGCCAUGCCGCGUGUAUGAAGAAGGCCUUCGGGUUGUAAAGUACUUUCAGCGGGGAGGAAGGGAGUAAAGUUAAUACCUUUGCUCAUUGACGUUACCCGCAGAAGAAGCACCGGCUAACUCCGUG
rnacentral:rRNA from 1 species